rnacentral:rRNA from 1 species
UACGUAGGUCCCGGGCGUUGUCCGGAUUUAUUGGGCGUAAAGCGAGCGCAGGUGGUUUAUUAAGUCUGGUGUAAAAGGCAGUGGCUCAACCAUUGUAUGCAUUGGAAACUGGUAGACUUGAGUGCAGGAGAGGAGAGUGGAAUUCCAUGUGUAGCGGUGAAAUGCGUAGAUAUAUGGAGGAACACCGGUGGCGAAAGCGGCUCUCUAGCCUGUAUCUGACACUGAGGCUCGAAAGCGUGGGGAGCAAACAGG